rnacentral:rRNA from 1 species
AUACAUGCAAGUCGAACGCUUUGUGGUUCAACUGAUUUGAAGAGCUUGCUCAGAUAUGACGAUGGACAUUGCAAAGAGUGGCGAACGGGUGAGUAACACGUGGGAAACCUACCUCUUAGCAGGGGAUAACAUUUGGAAACAGAUGCUAAUACCGUAUAACAAUGACAACCGCAUGGUUGUUAUUUAAAAGAUGGUUCUGCUAUCACUAAGAGAUGGUCCCGCGGUGCAUUAGCUAGUUGGUAAGGUAAUGGCUUACCAAGGCGAUGAUGCAUAGCCGAGUUGAGAGACUGAUCGGCCACAAUGGGACUGAGACACGGCCCAUACUCCUACGGGAGGCAGCAGUAGGGAAUCUUCCACAAUGGGCGAAAGCCUGAUGGAGCAACGCCGCGUGUGUGAUGAAGGGUUUCGGCUCGUAAAACACUGUUGUAAGAGAAGAAUGACAUUGAGAGUAACUGUUCAAUGUGUGACGGUAUCUUACCAGAAAGGAACGGCUAAAUACGUGCCAGCAGCCGCGGUAAUACGUAUGUUCCAAGCGUUAUCCGGAUUUAUUGGGCGUAAAGCGAGCGCAGACGGUUAUUUAAGUCUGAAGUGAAAGCCCUCAGCUCAACUGAGGAAUUGCUUUGGAAACUGGAUGACUUGAGUGCAGUAGAGGAAAGUGGAACUCCAUGUGUAGCGGUGAAAUGCGUAGAUAUAUGGAAGAACACCAGUGGCGAAGGCGGCUUUCUGGACUGUAACUGACGUUGAGGCUCGAAAGU